rnacentral:rRNA from 1 species
UACAGAGGUCUCAAGCGUUGUUCGGAUUCAUUGGGCGUAAAGCGUGCGCAGGCGGUUUUGUAAGCCAGAUGUGAAAUCCCCGGGCUCAACCUGGGAAUGGCAUUUGGGACUGCAAGGCUGGAGUGCGGCAGAGGAGACUGGAAUUCCUGGUGUAGCAGUGAAAUGCGUAGAUAUCAGGAGGAAUACCGAUGGCGAAGGCAGGUCUCUGGGCUGACACUGACGCUCAUGCACGAAAGCGUGGGGAGCAAACAGG